CAUGUUGUGACACAUCUAUGGGGCUGCAUAGGAAGGAGCUGCAGGCAGCCUCUAGGAGCUGAGAGUAGUCCCUAGCCACUGACAGACACUAAGAAACAAGGAUCUUAGUCCCACAGCUGUAAGGAACUGAAUGCUGCCAACAACUGGUGUGCUUGAAAGAGCACUACGAGCCUCAGAUGAAAUUGCAGCUCUACUGACACCUUGACUUCAGCCUGAUGAAAUACUGAGAAGACAAGCUCACUGGUACCCAGACUCCUGACACAUAGAAACUACUCUGUGGGAUGUGUGCAUCUCACAUGGAAGGCUCAGGACCUGUCUUUGAAUGAAUUAAUGAGGAAAUGGAAAACUUCACUCUACUGCUCCUGUAAAUGUAGAAUAAGUUUCUCAAGCUUGAAACACUUACCCCUGUGAAGCUGAGACACCAAGAAGUCCAGCCCAUAUGGAGAAGACAUAUGGAGGAGAACCAAGGUGCUCUAGUCAACAGUCCCAGAUGAAUUGCCAGAUGACAGUCAGAACCAGCCAACAGUCAGAUGAAUAGGCCAUCAUGAGUGCUCCAGCCUACUCAGAUCUUCACCAGGAAAAUAUUUCCAUCCCAAAACACCAUUCUCUGCCCAUCAAUAAGAAGCAACACCUCGUCUAUUCAAGUUUUAUUAUGAGACUGCAGCAAUUCAGUCACAUCUUCAGGCUCCAUUUUGUUCUUCUCUUGGUAGUUCUACCGCAUCUGCACUUAUUUUCUCUACUCAACUCUUGAGCCUCUCAGAGUCAUCCAUGAGGGUUGGAAUCAACUUUUCCAAAUUCUUGUUAAUGUUGUUAUUGUGACCUGCUCCCAUGAAUCGCAGAUGUUCCUAAUGGCAUCUAAAAUGGUAAGUCCUUUCUAGAUGUUCUUCCAUUACUUUGACCACUUCCAUCAGAGGAAUGACUACCUAUGGCAGCCAAAGCCUUAUGAAAUGUAUUUCUUAAGUAAUAGGACUUGAAAGUUAAAAUUACUCUUUGAUCCAUGGAUUGCAGAAUGGAUGUUGUGUUGAUAGGCAUAAAAAAAUUAACAUCCUUGUUCAUGUCCAUCAAAGCUGUUUGGUGACUAGGUGCAUGUCAAUGACCAGUAAUAUUUUGAACAAAAUCCUCUUUUCUAAGCAAAAGAUCUCAACUGUGGGCUUAAAAAAUUCAGUAAACAAUGUUUUAAGAUGUACUGUCAUCCAGGCUUUGUUGUUCCGUUAAUAAAGAACAGGAAGAGUAGAUUUAGCA
rnacentral:lncRNA from 13 species